rnacentral:rRNA from 1 species
GACGAACGCUGGCGGCGUGCUUAACACAUGCAAGUCGAACGGAAAGGCCCUGCUUUUGUGGGGUGCUCGAGUGGCGAACGGGUGAGUAACACGUGAGUAACCUGCCCUUGACUUUGGGAUAACUUCAGGAAACUGGGGCUAAUACCGGAUAGGAGCUCCUGCUGCAUGGUGGGGGUUGGAAAGUUUCGGCGGUUGGGGAUGGACUCGCGGCUUAUCAGCUUGUUGGUGGGGUAGGGGCUUACCAAGGCUUUGACGGGUAGCCGGCCUGAGAGGGUGACCGGCCACAUUGGGACUGAGAUACGGCCCAGACUCCUACGGGAGGCAGCAGUGGGAAAUAUUGCACAAUGGGCGGAAGCCUGAUGCAGCAACGCCGCGUGCGGGAUGACGGCCUUCGGGUUGUAAACCGCUUUCGCCUGUGACGAAGCGUGAGUGACGGUAAUGGGUAAAGAAGCACCGGCUAACUACGUG